rnacentral:sRNA from 1 species
GAGAGAAACGGAGCCGGUCCCCGCGCCCGUGCGCUUCCCUGAGCUGUGGAAAGUGCACCCGGGACUCGGCUC